rnacentral:rRNA from 1 species
GGUUAAGUGAAUAAGGGCGCACGGUGGAUGCCUUGGCACUAGGAGCCGAUGAAGGACGGGACUAACACCGAUAUGCUUUGGGGAGCUGUAAGUAAGCUAUGAUCCAGAGAUUUCCGAAUGGGGGAACCCAAUAUCUUUUAUAGGAUAUUACUUUUCAGUGAAUACAUAGCUGAUUAGAGGUAGACGCAGAGAACUGAAACAUCUUAGUACCUGCAGGAAGAGAAAGAAAAUUCGAUUCCCUGAGUAGCGGCGAGCGAAACGGGAAGAGCCCAAACCAACAAGCUUGCUUGUUGGGGUUGUAGGACUCCAAUAUGGUAGUCUGUUAGUAUAGUUGAAGGAUUUGGAAAAUUCCGCUAAAGAGGGUGAAAGCCCCGUAGACGAAAUGCUGACAACACCUAGGAGGAUCCUGAGUACGGCGGAACACGAGAAAUUCCGUCGGAAUCCGCGGGGACCAUCCCGCAAGGCUAAAUACUCCCUAGUGACCGAUAGUGAACCAGUACCGUGAGGGAAAGGUGAAAAGCACCCCGGAAGGGGAGUGAAAUAGAUCCUGAAACCGUGUGCCUACAACAAGUCAAAGCUCGUUAAUGAGUGAUGGCGUGCCUUUUGUAGAAUGAACCGGCGAGUUACGAUUGCAUGCGAGGUUAAGUCGAAGAGACGGAGCCGCAGCGAAAGCGAGUCUGAAUAGGGCGAAUGAGUAUGUAGUCGUAGACCCGAAACCAUGUGAUCUACCCAUGUCCAGGUUGAAGGUGCGGUAAAACGCACUGGAGGACCGAACCCACGUACGUUGAAAAGUGCGGGGAUGAGGUGUGGGUAGCGGAGAAAUUCCAAACGAACUUGGAGAUAGCUGGUUCUCUCCGAAAUAGCUUUAGGGCUAGCCUCGGAAUUGAGAAUGAUGGAGGUAGAGCACUGUUUGGACUAGGGGCCCAUCUCGGGUUACCGAAUUCAGAUAAACUCCGAAUGCCAUUCAUUUAUAUCCGGGAGUCAGACUGCGAGUGAUAAGAUCCGUAGUCGAAAGGGAAACAGCCCAGACCACCAGCUAAGGUCCCAAAAUAUAUGUUAAGUGGAAAAGGAUGUGGGGUUGCACAGACAACUAGGAUGUUGGCUUAGAAGCAGCCACCAUUUAAAGAGUGCGUAAUAGCUCACUAGUCGAGUGACCCUGCGCCGAAAAUGUACCGGGGCUAAACAUAUUACCGAAGCUGUGGACUACACCAU